rnacentral:rRNA from 1 species
GAAACGACUGCUAAGACUGGAUAGGAAAAGUGAAGGCAUCUUUACUUUUUUAAAAGACCUUCUUUGAAGGUAUGCUUAAGGAGGGGCUUGCGACACAUUAGUUAGUUGGCAGGGUAAAGGCCUACCAAGACUAUGAUGUGUAGCUGGACUGAGAGGUUGAACAGCCACAUUGGGACUGAGACACGGCCCAAACUCCUACGGGAGGCAGCAGUAGGGAAUUUUCGGCAAUGGAGGAAACUCUGACCGAGCAACGCCGCGUGAACGAUGAAGUACCUCGGUAUGUAAAGUUCUUUUAUUAAGGAAGAAAAAAGAGUGGAAAAACUCCCUUGACGGUACUUAAUGAAUAAGCCCCGGCUAAUUAUGUGCCAGCAGCCGCGGUAAUACAUAAGGGGCGAGCGUUAUCCGGAAUUAUUGGGCGUAAAGGGUGCGUAGGCGGUUUAAUAAGUCUAUAGUUUAAUUUCAGCGCUUAACGCUGUUGUGCUAUAGAAACUGUUUUACUAGAGUGAGAUAGAGGCAAGCGGAAUUCCAUGUGUAGCGGUAAAAUGCGUAAAUAUAUGGAGGAACACCAGAGGCGUAGGCGGCUUGCCGGGUCUUUACUGACGCUGAGGCACGAAAGCGUGGGGAGCAAACAGGAUUAGAUACCCUGGUAGUCCACGCUGUAAACGAUGAGUACUAAGUGUCGGGUAAAACCGGUACUGAAGUUAACACAUUAAGUACUCCGCCUGAGGAGUACGUACGCAAGUAUGAAACUUAAAGGAAUUGACGGGACUCCGCACAAGCGGUGGAUCAUGUUGUUUAAUUCGAAGAUACACGAAAAACCUUACCAGGUCUUGACAUUUUCUUGCGAAGUUAUAGAAAUAUAAUGGAGGUUAUCAGGAAAACAGGUGGUGCAUGGUUGUCGUCAGCUCGUGUCGUGAGAUGUUAGGUUAAGUCCUAAAACGAGCGCAACCCUUGUCGUUAAUUGCCAGCAUGUAAUGAUGGGGACUUUAACGAGACUGCCAAUGAAAAAUUGGAGGAAGGUGGGGAUUACGUCAAAUCAUCAUGCCCCUUAUGAUCUGGGCUACAAACGUGAUACAAUGGUUGAUACAAAGAGUAGCUGAAACGUGAGUUCUUAGCCAAUCUCACAAAAUCAAUCUCAGUUCGGAUUGAAGUCUGCAACUCGACUUCAUGAAGUUGGAAUCGCUAGUAAUCGUGAAUCAGCAUGUCGCGGUGAAUACGUUCUCGGGGUUUGUACACACCGCCCGUCA